CUCAUCGUCGUCCUCUUCAUCAUCAUCUCUGCGUCUUGCUCGCCCUCAACUCCAUCCUGCUCGCCCUCAUCUGGUAAACUUCGUAUCCGACAUUAUAUUUUUUUUUGCAGAUCGUGAUAUUACUGGGCUUUAUUUGAUUUAGGUGUUUUGAGUUUGAGAAAUUUUGAAUUAUAGACCUCUGCACUUGAACAAAUUAGGUUUUUGAUUUUUAGGGUCAAAUUGAGAUUAGAAUUUGGGGUUUUCACAUUUUAUGCCAUUUUGAGUACCAAAAUGAUGAUAAUCAUCACGAAAUUGCUGCUGUAAACUUCGAACGCCACUGUUACUUUUUGGGUAUGUUUCUGUCCUACUUUUACCCAGUUUGAAUAUGUAUUCAUAGUUGUCGGAUUAAAACGUAUAUGUGGUUUUUGGGAAGUGAUGAGUAAAAUGGCUAGAAUUUUAGGAAGCUUUGCGCUUCUGGUUUUCAUCGGAUAGAGGGAACACGAAGAGGGAGAGGAAAAGAGAAAAUAUUAAGUUUAAUUGUAAAUUUUAAAUUUGUUUUUUAUAGUGUUAGUGGAGGAACCCAUCUGUAGUAUUUUAAGAGAAGAUGAGAAGAUGUAAACUGCUGGACAUCCUUAGCAUUUCCCAUGUUCUUUAUUAAUUUGAGAGUGAUCCUGUGAAUAAUUUUGGCUUUUAGAUUUGUUUGAAUCUUUUUCUGAUUCAACUUGCAGGUUUAGUAUCAUUUUACAGCUUUCUACAACUCUUUGUUCUUUCUCUCUUCCUUUAUGGUUAGACAGCAUCGAAUAUCUAUCAGUAAUCAUGUCCAGACUGACUGCGUUCAUACAACUUGUGCUGUUUAACUAAUGAAUAUAAUUUCGGAACUAAUAUGCCAUGCCUAGAUGAUUGAAGUGAGUAUCUUAGAUGAAUCAUCCAUGAUUGAUGUGAGUAUCUUAGAUGAAUCUAUCCACCUUGGGAACUUGCAAGAGUUGAGUUCAAGAUGUCCGGAUGCUUUUUCGUAUAUAACCAAGGUCUAAAACACAGCCUUAACCUUAUUCUUAAAAGGAGGUUUGUUUUUUGUAUGUCACUAAGUUAACUGCAUAAAUCCAAAUAUCAAGACCAAAACAAAUCAUAGGGUUACAUGAUUUCUUCCAAAUUAAUGCCAACAUAUUGUUCAGCAACGGGGAGAUUCUGGGGCCUUGCUUGACCAGCCACAUUAGAUAAAUCUCAAUACAAUCUAUGCAUGCAUGCUUAGUUGUAACCAGAUUCUUACCAGGCCACUGAUGGCGUAAUUUCAUUUGAAGAUUACAAUAAAUGAUAUAAGAUUUAAGGAAUUCACAAAAGUCAUGUGAAAAUAAAAGGUGCUGGAUUUCCCUUUGAAGGAUAUGAAAUUACUUGAUGUUAGAAUUGAGGUUUUACAGUUAGUCAGAGGUUUACGAUCAGAUCUGUAUAAUGUGUUUUAGCAUCCUUUUGUUGUUUGGCAAGCAAUUCACGUGCGUAGUUUCCGGUGUUUGUUUCAUAUUUAGAAGCUUGUUUUGAGUUCGAUGUCUCUAUUUUUUUUGUCGAAGAGUUCGAUGUCUGUAUAUCAUGUAGAAAAGUGAUUCCUUUUUUCUUUUGGAUGUCUGACCUUGUAAACUUCCGAAUCUAUUUUUCCGUAUUCUUCUUAUUGUUCUUCUAUCCCUAUCUAAAGCUUUAUCCCCAAACUGUUUCUUCAUUUGGACAGACCUAUGUAACUGUUGGUAAUAGAUUUCUGAUUUGUCUUUAGAAUUGCAUCCUAAGUGGUGGUUACAAGUUACGACUUCCCUGAUUGACUUCGUAUGAACAAAGUCAUGCGGAGUUUAACGAUUUUUCGUAUUGUAUAAUGCUUCACGUGGAUGUAUUAGUAUACCGUCAUGCUUUGGUAUCAUUCUCUAGUGUCAUAUUCUAACUAAAAGUAAAUGAUGUGGCCAAUUGCAUACUAGACAUACCUCGGAAUUGCUGGAAUGACCUCCUUGCAGCUUACAGGGGAUGUGGAGGGAGAGUCCAUGUUAGAUACGUUGUUAGUGAUAUGCAUGCAGACUUCAUCCAGACUGAAUGUGACUGCUUAACCUUGGUUGCUUCCACCCUUCCACUUACACUUAGGUCAAUGUGAUUUCUCCCACUUACCAUCGAAUCGAAUUGAAAUUUUAAUGCUUUAUGCAUGGAUACUAGACAAAGGCAUAAACAGUGGCACUGAUGGAUUUGCUAUGCUCUUCACUUGAAAUUGGUGUGCGUGAUCUUCUAGCAAUAACUUAUGAACAAUUGGUAUUUGUGAAUAAUUUUUGAAUUGCAGAUGCUUGUCAUUUACUGAUAGAUAAUCAAAAGAAGGGUGACAUUUGAUAGUCUAUUUCCAAUUUGGAUGUCUAAUUAUCCAUCACGGAACUGUCAAGGGGCACUUGGCUGAUAACUUUCACAGUCCAAAGAUGGUCUGCGCUGAAAUGUCAGCUGCUUAGCCUCUCUCUCCAUCUGCUUCAUUAUGUUGUCCUCUUUGCCUGCAUGUUUAACGUACAAGCAGAGUACAAACAAGGGACUUUUAGAAAAGUUAACCCUUUCUUUAGCACAUUAAGGCCUUGUUUAAUUUGGUGGCAUAUUGGUUUGAUGUCCGUGUGUGUGUGUGUGUCUAUUCUGCACAUUUGUUUGAUGUCCGUGUGUGUGUGUAUUCUGCACAUUUGGUUAAACAGAGGUUUACGGUUAUCUACUUGGUUUAUAACCAUGAUAUUACAUUGUGAAUGUUUUGUACUGUGUGAUGUUGAUGCUGAAAUAUUAUGUGAUUGUUGGUUGCAGAGAAGAGGAGCAUAAACGGAAGGCUAAGGCUAAGGCUACUGGAUUUUGUAAAUUAUGGAGAUCUACUUUGGAAUGCUAUACUAUAGUUCACUGGCAUUUUGUAAAAUAUCCUGGAUGAAAGUUUAGUGAAUGAUGUUUUAAGAGUCAAUGCAAAGAUUGACUUGUCACAAGUAUCUUCUUAUGUACUUGUAUUUGUUGAAGUUGCAUGUAUUGGGCACUAUUCUUUUUCUUAUUUUGGGUGAUAGAGUUUAAAUCAAGUUACAUUUGCAAAUUAAACUCAACUAUUUAUAAAUAGUAUGUCCC
rnacentral:lncRNA from 1 species